ACUCCUACGGGAGGCAGCAGUGGGGAAUUUUCCGCAAUGGGCGAAAGCCUGACGGAGCAACGCCGCGUGAGGGAUGAAGGCCUCUGGGCUGUAAACCUCUUUUAUCAAGGAAGAAGAUCUGACGGUACUUGAUGAAUAAGCCACGGCUAAUUCCGUGCCAGCAGCCGCGGUAAUACGGGAGUGGCAAGCGUUAUCCGGAAUUAUUGGGCGUAAAGCGUCCGCAGGCGGCCCAACAAGUCUGCUGUUAAAAAGUGGAGCUUAACUCCAUCAUGGCAGUGGAAACUGUUGGGCUAGAGUGUGGUAGGGGCAGAGGGAAUUCCCGGUGUAGCGGUGAAAUGCGUAGAUAUCGGGAAGAACACCAGUGGCGAAGGCGCUCUGCUGGGCCAUCACUGACGCUCAUGGACGAAAGCCAGGGGAGCGAAAGGGAUUAGAUACCCCAGUAGUCC
rnacentral:rRNA from 1 species